GUCGGGUGUUGGAAAAGCGCCAGUUGUCACGAGAUUUGUAACCCAGGCUGAAAUGUCCUGUGCUUGCAUUUUGACCUUUGUCUAGCACCCACGGCUGGCCUGCCUUCUCUGCCUCAGCUCCUCCUGACUGGCGUCCUUGCGUUUGGAUCUGUGCUGGGAUUGGUUCUGAGACAACAUAAACACAGCGUGACUCAUGGAUUUGAAGAAGUGUAAGGGUGAAGAACGUGAAGUCAUCAAGGUUAGGAGAAGCAAUGCCAGCGAUGAACAUUGGACUUCUAAUCACGUUCAAGGAGAGAUGAUUCCAUUCAUUUUAUAAGGCUUUCACCCGAUUCUCGGUAUCGUGUCGGUGCGGGCAUGGGGCACUGACAAAUGGAGGUUCCACCGAGAUUUGAACUUUGAAUCCAGUGAUCCGAGAUCAGAAAGACAAGGUCUCCUGACAGGACGUCCUGGGAAGCCAGCAAAGAAGCAGGGACUUAUUGGGGUAAGAUGGGCUAAAAAAGGCCUCGGUGAUUUGGGCUAGCGUGAGUAAAACUUGUAAUAAAAAAGGGACAAGGUAAUGGUAAGGUAUUUUUGUGUAUGCGCUCUUUU
rnacentral:lncRNA from 1 species